CUUGGUCUCAAAGAAACUGUUGUCUUUUGCUGUUGUUAUCUUUGUUUCACUGCAGUCCCAGAAGGUGGCGAUAAUGCGCCAACUUGAUUGUUGUUGGGUGCGCCCUGAACCGUAGAAGAAGACUUUCAAUCGUAAACAACUAGCUAACGUUAGCUGGCUGCUAGUGUGCGUUUCUUUUCGCAAAAAAAAAUGGCCAAAUUGGAGUUGCUAAGUUUGUUUCUCACUGAACGUUUAACGUCUGCUGCACAGGAUAUAUAUAAAAUGUUAGAAGAAACGUUUGCAGAAUACCAAGCAGAGAUCACUUACGUAAAGAGAGAGAAUGAAUUUCUACGGAAGCAGUUUAAUGCUAACAGACCGAGAAAAGUGAACGUUAAACGAGGUCUACGACAGAUCACCCGCACUGUCUCUGUAGCAGUAGCUCCCCCAAAGCUGAAGCAGGAGUCGAGCCCCAGUCUGGGGAAGGAGGUUUCACAAACUGAGGAGAAGAAGCAAGAAGCAAGGACCAGUCAGGGGGAAGAGCAGCUUCAAGAGACUGGAACAACAGAAUUGAUGCCUACACCCACCACUCACUGUUGCAGCAAAGACAAUGAUAUUGGCCCAUCCAAAACAUUGCCCCAGAUCCAGCCCAAGCCCUUACCCUCCUUACCCAUACCCCUUCUCCUGGCUCAGCCCGCACAGCCCUUCCAAAUCGCACAGAACCAAGCCGUCGUCUUAUCUCAUCAGAUAUCGCCUCUGGUCAUUCAGGUUGUAAAGAAAUUGUUUAUUUGUAAAGACUGUGGGAAGACUUUCCGUUACAUGAGUCGUUUGAAACAGCACACACGCAUGGCUCACACGCAGGAAAAACCCCACUGCUGUACGUUGUGUGGAAAGUGUUUUCUUACCGCCAGCAAGUUAAAAACACACCAGCUAAUACACACCGGCGAGAGACCCUACCUCUGUAAUGUCUGUGGUCACUGUUUCAACCAGAGGUCGAACCUCAAAGUACACAUGCAGAGGAAACACAAAGAUGUCAAGGGUGUGUGACAAACAAAAAAAUAUAGCAUUCAGUAUACGGAUUUACAUUAAUAUUUACAUUUUAGUCAUUUAGAAGAUGCACUUAGCCAGAGCGACUUACCGUUAAUGCAUUCAUCUUAAGAUAGCUAGGUGGGAUGAUGAAAAGGUUAUGUGGGGAAAAAGACAGCAAAAAUAAAUAAAGUUGUAAGACCUCUACAUUCAGGUGUAUGUCAGUGGAGGCUGAGGGGAGAACGGCUCAUAUAAGUCUCCCCAACCCCUACAUUCAGGUGUAUGUCAGUGGAGGCUGAGGGGAGAACGGCUCAUAUAAGUCUCCCCGACCCCUACAUUCAGGUGUAUGUCAGUGGAGGCUGAGGGGAGAACGGCUCAUAUAAGUCUCCCCAACCCCUACAUUCAAGUGUAUGUCAGUGGAGGCUGAGGGGAGAACGGCUCAUAUAAGUCUGGACCGGAGUGAAUGGAGUGGCAUUGAUACCAAUCCCCACAUUUCCCUCCAGCCAUUACCACGAGCCCGUCCUCACCAAUUAAGGUGCCACCACCCUCCUGUGGUGUAUAUAAUUUCUCCUCCCUUCCCUGUAUUGUUGUCUCAAAUCAUAAACUACAUUAAAGAUGUAAAACAGCCUGUUUUCUUUUACAGGCUACAACCUCUAACUUGUAUCACAUUUUGGCUCUAAUUGCUGGACAGGUCUUGCAUGGUAAGAUGCUUUUUUGCUCUGCUCAAAAACAAAUUCAGUCAACCCCUGAUAAGUGCACAUUGGUUAAUUGCACCAGUCUAUACAAAACAGUCACAAGUCACUUGGUGUGUUCUAGAUACACACACCCCAAAAUCAUGAGAGGAUUCAUAUGUUAUUUCAAUGUGGGGAAGAUGGUAAACACUUUUCCAGGCACUGCAUAUGGAGUUGGCUGUAUUGUGUAUGCAAAAUUCUCCUGGGUAUACCACUCAAAGCUCACUCAUUGGUAUUCACUUCUGUAGCCUUGUGGUAGGUGCCCAAAAUUAACAUGCCCUUUUAAACCUACAUAAACCAUUUAAACAUCUUUACUGUUGUGCUGU